GAUAGAGUGACUGAAUUAUUAGGUGAUAAAUUGUAAAUUUAUUUAUGGCUUUGUUAGCCCUCUAUUA
rnacentral:tRNA from 1 species